rnacentral:siRNA from 1 species
CAGUUGAUAUUGACCGCCGGUAC